rnacentral:siRNA from 1 species
UGGCAUAUUACAUAUUCGUGA